rnacentral:rRNA from 1 species
GACGAACGCUGGCGGCGUGCUUAACACAUGCAAGUCGAACGGAAAGGCCCUGCUUUUGUGGGGUGCUCGAGUUGCGAACGGGUGAGUAACACGUGAGUAACCUGCCCUUGACUUUGGGAUAACUUCAGGAAACUGGGGCUAAUACCGGAUAGGAGCUCCUGCUGCAUGGUGGGGGUUGGAAAGUUUCGGCGGUUGGGGAUGGACUCGCGGCUUAUCAGCUUGUUGGUGGGGUAGUGGCUUACCAAGGCUUUGACGGGUAGCCGGCCUGAGAGGGUGACCGGCCACAUUGGGACUAAGAUACGGCCCAGACUGCUACGGGAGGCAGCAGUGGGGAAUAUUGCACAAUGGGCGGAAGCCUGAUACAGCGACGCCGCGUGCGGGAUGACGGCCUUCGGGGUGUAAACCGCUUUCGCCUGUGACGAAGCGUGAGUGACGGUAAUGAGUAAAGAAGCACCGGCUAACUACGUG